UACAGAGGUCCCGAGCGUUGUUCGGAUUUAUUGGGCGUAAAGGGUGCGUAGGCGGCGGAGUAAGUUGGGUGUGAAAUCCCGGGGCUCAACCUCGGAAUGGCAUUCAAUACUGCUUCGCUCGAGUACUGGAGAGGAGGCUGGAAUUUACGGUGUAGCAGUGAAAUGCGUAGAUAUCGUAAGGAAGGCCGGUGGCGAAAGCGAG
rnacentral:rRNA from 1 species